CACGUAGGGUGCAAGCGUUGUUCGGAAUUACUGGGCGUAAAGGGCUCGUAGGCGGCCAACUAAGUCAUACGUGAAAUCCCUCGGCUUAACCGGGGAACUGCGUCUGAUACUGGAUGGCUUGAGUUCGGGAGAGGGAUGCGGAAUUCCCGGUGUAGCGGUGAAAUGCGUAGAUAUCGAGAGGAACACCUGCGGCGAAGGCGGGUUGCUGGGCUGAUACUGACGCUGAGGCGCGAAAGCCAGGGGAGCGAACGGG
rnacentral:rRNA from 1 species